GACGAACGCUGGCGGCGUGCUUAACACAUGCAAGUCGAACGGAAAGGCCUCUUUCGGGGGGUACUCGAGUGGCGAACGGGUGAGUAACACGUGAGUAACCUGCCCUUGACUUUGGGAUAACUUCAGGAAACUGGGGCUAAUACCGGAUAGGAGCUCCUGCUGCAUGGUGGGGGUUGGAAAGUUUCGGCGGUUGGGGAUGGACUCGCGUCUUAUCAGCUUGUUGGUGGGGUAGUGGCUUACCAAGGCUUUGACGGGUAGCCGGCCUGAGAGGGUGACCGGCCACAUUGGGACUGAGAUACGGCCCAGACUCCUACGGGAGGCAGCAGUGGGGAAUAUUGCACAAUGGGUGGAAGCCUGAUGCAGCAACGCCGUGUGCGGGAUGACGGCCUUCGGGUUGUAAACCGCUUUCGCUCAUGACGAAGCUUUGUGUGACGGUAGUGGGUAAAGAAGCACCGGCUAACUACGUG
rnacentral:rRNA from 1 species